rnacentral:rRNA from 1 species
GACGAACGCUGGCGGCGUGCUUAACACAUGCAAGUCGAGCGGUAAGGCCCUUUCGGGGGUACGCGAGCGGCGAACGGGUGAGUAACACGUGGGUGACCUGCCCUUAGCUCUGGGAUAAGCCUGGGAAACUGGGUCUAAUACCGGAUAUGACUCCAUAACGCAUGUUGUGGGGUGGAAAGCCUUGUGCGGCUAGGGAUGGGCCCGCGGCCUAUCAGCUUGUUGGUGGGGUGAUGGCCACCAAGGCGACGACGGGUAGCCGGCCUGAGAGGGCGACCGGCCACACUGGGACUGAGACACGGCCCAGACUCCUACGGGAGGCAGCAGUGGGGAAUCUUGCGCAAUGGGCGAAAGCCCGACGCAGCGACGCCGCGUGGGGAUGAC